rnacentral:rRNA from 1 species
UACGAAGGUGGCAAGCGUUACUCGGAUUUACUAGGCGUAAAGGGCAGGUAGGUGGUUUGAUAAGUCUGCUGUGUAAGCUCCCGGCUUAACUGGGAGAGGUCAGCGGAAACUGUCAGGCUUGAGUAUGGGAGAGGGUACUGGAAUUCCUGGUGUAGCGGUGAAAUGCGCAGAUAUCAGGAAGAACACCAAUGGCGAAGGCAGCUCUCUGGGACGGUACUGACGCUGAGACGCGAAAGCGUGGGGAGCGAACAGG